UACAGAGGUCCCAAGCGUUGUUCGGAUUCAUUGGGCGUAAAGGGUGCGUAGGUGGCGCCGUAAGUCAGGUGUGAAAUCUCGGGGCUUAACUCCGAAACUGCAUUUGAUACUGCGAUGCUUGAGGACUGGAGAGGAGACUGGAAUUUACGGUGUAGCAGUGAAAUGCGUAGAGAUCGAUAAGGAAGACCAGUGGCGAAGGCGGGUCUCUGGACAGUUCCUGACACUGAGGCACGAAGGCCAGGGGAGCAAACGGGG
rnacentral:rRNA from 1 species